CGCAUAUACACACACGUAAUGCACGCACAUACACACACACACACACACACACACACAUCAUUCACACACAUGUAACUCCUAUCCAUCUUCCGAAAUCCAGCAAAAGUUAAAGAACUUCCAAGCUCUCCUUCAAAAAAGAGCCCAUGGACUUCUCAACAGAUGUGAGUGAUGCCAAAGAAGAACAAGCAGAGGCCAUUCAAGAAGAAGAAAAUAACAUCAGACAAGACAAUAAUGAACUAGAGGAGAUAAACACCACAUUGAACGAAUUCUUCCAACUUCCAAAGACUGCUUCACUGGAAAGGAGACCUGGAUGCUGUUCUCGGCAAAUACACUCAUGACUUGAUCCAAAAACUUAACGGCCUGCACCGCAAUGUAUCCCUUUCUCUACCUCUCCCCACAGUUUCCACAACACACCCUUACAAGCCUGGGUACAAGGUCCUGGUGAAAAGGCUGAACCCAAGUAAGAUUGGUGACGCCUCCUACAGCAACCCUACAGCGAUCCUGGAUGUGACUCGGACAGCCUCUCAACCUCAGUGGAUCCACCCAAGCAGGCUAGGAAACAGUGCCUCUACAAUCAAGCAGCCCUCAGGGGGCCCAAACACUAGUGCCUCUACAGUCAAGCAGCCCUUAGGGGGCCCACCUGUUUAUUAUUUUCUUGUUGAUUGUUUACAUGUACUUGUACCUUUUUUACCAACAUCGUAAUUUUUCGUACACCUGGUUUAGCUCUCCUUGUUACCUUAGUUUCAAAUAGCCUGUUAUCAUCAUAUUUAUGCUCAGGAAUAUAAUGAGUUAUAUGUUGACGUUAAACCAGGAUAAAUUUGUCCCGUUAUUCUUUCAAAGAAUAAAAGUGGGCAAAUGAAAGGAUAAACAGAUGUAACCCUAGAGAGGAAAAUUACUCACUCCUCAUUGACUUCCCCCCGCCCAAAAUGUAAAUAGCUGACUUUGUAUCUCCCUAUCUUGCACCUGUAUAAAUAUUCUAGUGUUC